CACAUGACUCUCGACAACGGAUAUCUUGGCUCACGCAUCGAUGAAGAAUGUAGCAAAAUGCGAUACCUGGUGUGAAUUGCAGAAUCCCGUGAACCAUCAAGUUUUUGAACGCAAGUUGCACCCGAGGCCUUUUGGUCGAGGGCACAUCUGUCUGGGCAUCACGU
rnacentral:rRNA from 1 species